UUCUGCACUAUCCAUGACCCUUAGGAAAAGAAGCACCCUAACCCUAACAAUCAUACCCACACUCCAAACGUCAGGUACAUGAAUUGGAACCCUAAACCUCAACCUGCUCCUGACCCUAACCCUAACCCUAAGGCGCAGGACCAAAUCACAAUAUCCAGGUGCUUGACAUGUGACCUUAUCCCUCCCCGUCCCCACCAACUUGCGCUAAUACUAACUUUCCAACCCACACUGGAAGACACAGGCAUUUCAAUUUCAAUGCUAUCUAUCACCCUGACCCUAACCCUAACCCUAGCCCUAACCCUACCAGAACAAUAAGUCAUCCUCAAGUACCGCUAUUUCUGCACUAUCCAUGACCCUUACGAAAAGAAGCACCCUAAUCCUAACAAUCAUACCCACACUCCAAACGUCAGGUACAUGAAUUGGAACCCUAAACCUGAACCUGCUCCUAACCCUAACCCUAACCCUAAGGCGCAGGACCAAAUCACAAUACCCAGGUGCUUGACAUGUGACAUUAUCCCUCCCCGUCCCCCCCGAACUUACGCUAAUACUAACUUUCCAACCCACACUGGAAGACACAGGCAUUUCAAUUUCAAUGCUAUCUGUCUACCUGACCCUGACCCUAACCCUAACCCUAGCCCUAACCCUACCAGAACAAUAAGUCAUCCUCAAGUACCGCUAUUUCUGCACUAUCCAUGACCCUUACCAAAAGAAGAACCCUAAUCCGAACAAUCACACCCACACUCCAAACGUCAGGUACAUGAAUUGGAACCCUAAACCUGAACCUACUCCUAACCCUAACCCUAAAACUAAGGCGCAGGACCAAAUCCCCAUUCCCAGGUGGUUGACAAGUGACCUUAUCCCUCCCCGUCCCCCCGAGCUUACGCUAAUACUAACUUUCCAACCCACACUGGAAG
rnacentral:lncRNA from 1 species